AUUCAAGUAGUUUAUAUUAAAAUUUUAACUUGUGGGGUUUAAGGAAAUAGUAGUUAUAUCUUGAAUA
rnacentral:tRNA from 1 species